GACGUAGGGCGCGAGCGUUGUCCGGAUUUAUUGGGCGUAAAGAGCUCGUAGGCGGUUUGUCGCGUCUGCUGUGAAAACUGGAGGCUCAACCUCCAGCCUGCAGUGGGUACGGGCAAACUAGAGUGCGGUAGGGGAGAUUGGAACUCCAGGUGUAGCGGUGAAAUGCGCAGAUAUCUGGGGGAAGGCCGGCGGCGAAGGCGCCUAUCUGGGAGAUACCUGACACUGAGGCGCGAAAGCGUGGGGAGCAAACAGG
rnacentral:rRNA from 1 species